rnacentral:rRNA from 1 species
AUGGACAAACUGAGCCCUGUGGGAAACAAUCGCAUCAGCUCAGCGACGUCCAGCGUUUCUCCUCUCGUGUUUCUUUGCACGCCUCAUCUCCAAGCACGAAGCCACGACGAGAUUGAGGGUGCAAGGCUCAAGGGAAGCAGCUGGUUCUGUAGUUCUUUGUAUGCUUAUGGUAUCUUGGAUGAGGGUUACAAAUUCAACUUGUCAGUUGAGGAAGCUGCUGAGUUAGCAUGGCGGGCUUUUAUCACGCAAUAUUCUGUGACAGAGCUAGUGGUGGCUGUGUUCCUGGUGGGCUUGACAGACCAGUUUUUAUCCGGAAGAAAGGCCUUUAGCGUGCGUUUGGAUCUGAAGAAACAAAGCAAGAUAUGGCUGUCUUUCCUCCUAACUUGGCUAGUUACUAGUAUCUCCUUGAUCCUUUGA